CAAAAUGCUGGAAUUAUAAGCAUAAGCCACUGCACCCGGCCAGAUUUGUUAUUAUAUGUUGAGCUAAGAGCAAGGCAGAAAUAAGAGUUACUCUCUAAGAGAGAACCAAACCAAGAUUUUUGCAGAAAUCAUUUUGCAGAAAUUAUGGCAUCCAAGAGAGUACAGGUGAAUGUAAGCCUGGGGAAUUACAAGAAUAGUUAAAAUCUAAUUCAGGUCUUCUGGGUGUACAUUUAAGUCUCCUUGGGGAAGCGAAUAGAGGUUUGACUGCAACCUUGGAAGUUUACAUCUAGUUAUUUGCUGUCUUUAGAAACAAGGGAAUGUCUGCAUGAUACAUAAGAAAGAGGCAGCCAGAAAAAAUGUCUGUUUCUUUUACUGUCUAAUAUGUAUAUCACUGUGAUAGAGAUUUGAUCCCAUUUAAUAUUAAGAUCAUCCAACUAAUUUUUCUACCUGAGUCCUUUUGACUUCAAAUUCUAGUAUCAAGCAUUACAUUAGACUGCUUAGAAGUCUAACAAAUUCUUAGAAUAUAUUUAUGUAUUGCUGAGAUGAAGCCUUGGGAAACACCCAUAUCUAAUAAAGUGACUAGGUGUAACCUCUAGUUCUGUAUGCAUGCCUUUGAAAAUAGGAGGACAUAUUAGUCCAGAUUCCCUGGGAAGCAAAGGCCAAGACAGGAAUUGACAUGCAAGAGAUUUAUUAGGGUAAAAACCUGCAAGAGAACUAGGGUAGAGAAUGGGAGGAGACUGGGAGAAUUAUCUGACUCUUGCGAAGGAGAAAGGGAAGGCAGACCGGCAGGGAGGCAACUGGGCAGGAAGGAGGGAAUGAAUGAAUGAGACUGUAGUGCAGUUCUAAGCAAGACAGGAAUUUGAAUGGAUUAUUUGGUAGCAUUUCCUGCUUCUAUCAUAUAGCUGAGAUCUUUAGGGUGUUUCUUAGCCCAGAGAAAGUGAAUUACAAAUACAUAGUGACUGACAUAAUUAUAUAAUAAUAUUUAGUAUAAAUAUAAAAGAAAAUCAUUGGGUACUUUGAUGAAACAGGUGUCUACGGUUCAUAUUGGGGGAGGCAUAUGGAGAGAUUUUGAAUGCCUUGCCUUACUUAUGCCGUGGAUCUUAAUUAGAUGACACAAGCCCAUCUUUGAGAUCCUGAGAAACUCAGCAUGCCAAUCAGAGAUCUAUAAAUCAUAUGACUGAGGGGAGUUUGCCACAUGAUUUAAGAACAUUAUGGAGUGGACACCAGGACUCCAAGAUGGAGUCAGUCAUACCAGUGAAGGACAAGAAACUUCUGGAGGUCAAACGCGGGGAGCUGCCAAGCCAGAUCUUGACACGGGACUUAGCCCUAGUGGCAUUGCCAAAGUGUUUUGAAGAGGUAACUACUGGUAUUACAAGUACAUCAACGUGAAGAAGGGGAGCAUCUUGGGGAUUACCAUGGUGCUGGCAAGCUAUGUGGUCUUCAGCUACUCCGUUUCCUACAAGGAACUCAAGCACGAGUGGCUACGCAAGUACCACUGAAGAAGGGCACACGCUCUGCACACCCCACCAUGACCUUCUUGGCCCAAGCUCCUCCAUAAGGAACACAGUGUCCAUCGUUGCUGAAUCCUUUCUUAUCCUAAUGGGAAUUUACCUCCAAAUAAAAGAUGACUGGUAU